GAUGAACGCUGGCGGCGUGCUUAACACAUGCAAGUCGAACGGUGAAGCCAAGCUUGCUUGGUGGAUCAGUGGCGAACGGGUGAGUAACACGUGAGCAACCUGCCCUGGACUCUGGGAUAAGCGCUGGAAACGGCGUCUAAUACUGGAUAUGAGACGUGAUCGCAUGGUCAACGUUUGGAAAGAUUUUUCGGUCUGGGAUGGGCUCGCGGCCUAUCAGCUUGUUGGUGAGGUAAUGGCUCACCAAGGCGUCGACGGGUAGCCGGCCUGAGAGGGUGACCGGCCACACUGGGACUGAGACACGGCCCAGACUCCUACGGGAGGCAGCAGUGGGGAAUAUUGCACAAUGGGCGGAAGCCUGAUGCAGCAACGCCGCGUGAGGGAUGACGGCCUUCGGGUUGUAAACCUCUUUUAGCAGGGAAGAAGCGAAAGUGACGGUACCUGCAGAAAAAGCGCCGGCUAACUACGUGCCAGCAGCCGCGGUAAUACGUAGGGCGCAAGCGUUAUCCGGAAUUAUUGGGCGUAAAGAGCUCGUAGGCGGUUUGUCGCGUCUGCUGUGAAAUCCCGAGGCUCAACCUCGGGCCUGCAAUGGGUACGGGCAGACUAGAGUGCGGUAGGGGAGAUUGGAAUUCCUGGUGUAGCGGUGGAAUGCGCAGAUAUCAGGAGGAACACCGAUGGCGAAGGCAGAUCUCUGGGCCGUAACUGACGCUGAGGAGCGAAAGGGUGGGGAGCAAACAGGCUUAGAUACCCUGGUAGUCCACCCCGUAAACGUUGGGAACUAGUUGUGGGGACCAUUCCACGGUUUCCGUGACGCAGCUAACGCAUUAAGUUCCCCGCCUGGGGAGUACGGCCGCAAGGCUAAAACUCAAAGGAAUUGACGGGGACCCGCACAAGCGGCGGAGCAUGCGGAUUAAUUCGAUGCAACGCGAAGAACCUUACCAAGGCUUGACAUACACCAGAACGGGCCAGAAAUGGUCAACUCUUUGGACACUGGUGAACAGGUGGUGCAUGGUUGUCGUCAGCUCGUGUCGUGAGAUGUUGGGUUAAGUCCCGCAACGAGCGCAACCCUCGUUCUAUGUUGCCAGCACGUAAUGGUGGGAACU
rnacentral:rRNA from 1 species